AGUAGAGUUUGAUCAUGGUUCAGAUUGAACGCUGGCGGCAGGCUUAACACAUGCAAGUCGAACGAAGUUAGGAAGCUUGCUUCUGAUACUUAGUGGCGGACGGGUGAGUAAUGCUUAGGAAUCUGCCUAGUAGUGGGGGAUAACUUGGGGAAACCCAAGCUAAUACCGCAUACGACCUACGGGUGAAAGGGGGCUUUUAGCUCUCGCUAUUAGAUGAGCCUAAGUCGGAUUAGCUGGUUGGUGGGGUAAAGGCCUACCAAGGCGACGAUCUGUAGCUGGUCUGAGAGGAUGAUCAGCCACACUGGGACUGAGACACGGCCCAGACUCCUACGGGAGGCAGCAGUGGGGAAUAUUGGACAAUGGGCGAAAGCCUGAUCCAGCCAUGCCGCGUGUGUGAAGAAGGCCUUUUGGUUGUAAAGCACUUUAAGUGGGGAGGAAAAGCUUAUGGUUAAUACCCAUAAGCCCUGACGUUACCCACAGAAUAAGCACCGGCUAACUCUGUGCCAGCAGCCGCGGUAAUACAGAGGGUGCAAGCGUUAAUCG
rnacentral:rRNA from 1 species